ACUUGUGUAGUUUAAGUUAAAAUAUUAGCCUCAUAAGCUAAAGAUGGUAAUCAUAUUACUCAUAAGUU
rnacentral:tRNA from 1 species